rnacentral:lncRNA from 1 species
CACAGGUCUCUUUCUAUGACUCACCCUGCCUCCCUGUGAUAGGAUGAAGUCCCGAAUGACAGAGGUGGAGCUAGAACCCACGUCACUCAGAGUUCAAUGCCCUUUUGGGUUACGUAUGUGUGUGUUUGUGUGUGGGUGCACGUGAGACGCGAUAGGGGAGGGGCAUCUCUGCUAUCUGAAGCUCUUUCUUUUCUUCCUCCUUUGUCUCAAUAAACCUGACUCAGACUCUGUCAUCCCCUGUUCUGUUUUUUCAUUUCUUUCCCACUUUACCCACCAUUAUUGUUUCUACCCCUGAAGGAUCACAGUCUCACUUUCAUCUCCUCUGUAAAACUAGCUAACUUUUCAUAUCCCUAGAUCCACCCAUUGCUCACUAUCUUUUCUUCUUCUUUUUAAUAGAAUUUUAUUGAAUAAUUCAGUAUCACAUGUGCCAAGGGUUUAAACUUAAUGAGUAAAGCAACAAUUAUCCUAAAUCAUGAAAGAAAUUCACCUUUUGUGCCAAGCUUUGUGUUAAUGGCUUUGGCAGUUUGCACAGACUAUUGAGAGUCUUUGUAAUAUUAAAAAUGGGACAUUGAUGUUGUUAUUAAUUUUAAUAUGAACUAUUAAUAUUGCCACCACUUAUAAAAUGCUUAAUGUAUGGCAAACACUUGCUAAACACUUUAUAUGCAUUUAAUCAUAAAAUCAACUCUGUGAGAGGUAUUAGUGAGUUUCUCAUUUACUUAACUUUUUUCCCCCAGUGCUGGGGCUCCAGACCAGGGCUUUGCACAUGCUAGGUAGGCUCUCCACUAGGCUACAUCCCCAAGCCUCCCAUUCAUUUUAGGUGAGGAGCCUGAGGCUCUCCUGGUUUCUUCACAAUGGAAAGUGGCCAGUCUGACCCUUGCAUUACAUUCUUUUCUUUUUUAUUUGUUCUUUUUAAUCACACAUGACAGCACAAUGUGUUUUGACAUAUUAUUCAUACAUGCACAUUCUUCCAUUCUUGUGGUUGUACAUGAUGUGGAGUUACACUGAUCAUGUACCUUGCACUACAUUCUAAUGAACUUGUUUUCUUCCAAAGCUCUGCUUGGGCCUCACUCCUACUGUACCUGGCCUUUUUGUAUGUUGAUAGUGAAC